CAACAGCUAGAGUUUGAUCCUGGCUCAGGAUGAACGCUGGCGGCGUGCCUAACACAUGCAAGUCGAGCGAUUUACUUCGGUAAAGAGCGGCGGACGGGUGAGUAACGCGUGGGUAACCUGCCCUGUACACACGGAUAACAUACCGAAAGGUAUGCUAAUACGAGAUAAUAUGCUUUUAUCGCAUGGUAGAAGUAUCAAAGCUUUUGCGGUACAGGAUGGACCCGCGUCUGAUUAGCUAGUUGGUAAGGUAACGGCUUACCAAGGCGACGAUCAGUAGCCGACCUGAGAGGGUGAUCGGCCACAUUGGAACUGAGACACGGUCCAAACUCCUACGGGAGGCAGCAGUGGGGAAUAUUGCACAAUGGGCGAAAGCCUGAUGCAGCAACGCCGCGUGAGCGAUGAAGGCCUUCGGGUCGUAAAGCUCUGUCCUCAAGGAAGAUAAUGACGGUACUUGAGGAGGAAGCCCCGGCUAACUACGUGCCAGCAGCCGCGGUAA
rnacentral:rRNA from 1 species